GCCCCGGUAGCUCAGCGGAAAGAGCAGCUGACUUCUAAUCUGCGUGUCGCCGGUUCGAAUCCGGCUCGGGGCA
rnacentral:tRNA from 1 species